UAACUCCCCUAACUGUUUAAGGUGUUUCU
rnacentral:piRNA from 1 species